CCUCUCUGUGCUGCCAUUUGGGAC
rnacentral:miRNA from 1 species